rnacentral:rRNA from 1 species
AUUGAACGCUGGCGGCAGGCCUAACCCAUGCAAGUCGAACGAGUGGCGGACGGGUGAGUAAUGUCUGGGAAACUGCCCGAUGGAGGGGGAUAACUACUGGAAACGGUAGCUAAUACCGCAUACCAUCGGAUGUGCCCAGAUGGGAUUAGCUAGUAGGUGGGGUAACGGCUCACCUAGGCGACGAUCCCUAGCUGGUCUGAGAGGAGUACCAGCCACACUGGAACUGAGAAACGGUCCAGACUCCUACGGGAGGCAGCAGUGGGGAAGAUUGCACAAUGGGCGAAAGCCUGAUGCAGCCAUGCCGCGGGGAUGAAGAAGGCCUUCGGGUUGUAAAGUACUUUCAGCGAGGAGGCGGUACUCGCAGAAGAAGCACCGGCUAACUCCGUGCCAGCAGCCGCGGUAAUAC